AUAUUCUAAUGGCCACUGCGCUCAAUCGGUGGUGAUCUCGACGUCAAACACCCACGAGUCGGCAUUGGACAGUGGAGAAACAGUUUUAGGUGGCGCUCUAACGCUGGCUCCGACCCAAAAUAGCAAAAAUAAAAAAGGCCACCCACCUUAAGUCAAACAUAACGCUCAGGAAACAAAAGGAGGCCUGAGAAGGUCAGAGAGACAGUGCAAGAGAGUCAAAAGAUAACUUACUUGGAGGACCCCUAGAAACGCAAUAUAUAGGCGAGGGCCAGAGUCCGUUGCUGAGUAGUUUGAGGCUAUAUGGUGGAUGAUGAAGCAACAAACUAUGUAUAUCACAUUUGUUAGGAAACAUUUAGCAAUCACAGUCGAGUUGCCACCAGCUAUAAGAAAAGUUUGAAAUAUAGAAGAUUCUCUAUAUGUUUUUUUAGGUUGGCCACGUGGCAAAUUUUGAAUAGUCAGUCCACAGCUAGGUGGUGAGCUUUCAUUGGUCAGUUCAUUUUGUCAGAAAAGGUCAAUUCUAAGGUGUGUCAAAAACUUACGCAUAUAAUGCUGGUUACCCGUAACUAAACACCUGCCACACACAGGCCAUUAGAAAUAUGUCAUUGAUCUUUGUUAGUUCUUAAAUAUCCCUCCC
rnacentral:lncRNA from 1 species